AACGAACGCUGGCGGCAGGCUUAACACAUGCAAGUUGAACGGGAUUUGUGUGGUGCUUGCACCAUAUAAUGAGAGUAGCGCACUGGUGAGUAACACGUGGGAACGUACCUUUGGUGGGGGACAACAUCUGGAAACGGAUGCUAAUACCGCAUAAGACCUGAGGGUGAAAGAUUUAUCGCCGAAAGAACGGCCCGCGGAAGAUUAGGCAGUUGGUGGGGUAAAGGCCUACCAAACCUACGAUCUAUAGCUGGUCUGAGAGGACGAUCAGCCACACUGGAACUGAGACACGGUCCAGACUCCUACGGGAGGCAGCAGUGAGGAAUAUUGGGCAAUGGAGGCAACUCUGACCCAGCCAUGCCGCGUGAGUGAAGAAGGUUUUCGGAUUGUAAAGCUCUUUCGGAUGUGACGAUGAUGACGGUAGCAUCUAAAGAAGCCCCGGCUAACUUCGUG
rnacentral:rRNA from 1 species